rnacentral:tRNA from 1 species
AGAGGCGUUGGUCCAGGUAGGAACGAACCUGUCAAUGGUUCGCCUAGCUGCCGAGGCUGAGCGCUGGUUCCACAAGCCGGUUGUCGCUA